UACGGGGGGGGCAAGCGUUGUUCGGAAUUACUGGGCGUAAAGGCUCGUAGGCGGCCAACUAAGUCAGACGUGAAAUCCCCAGGCUCAACCUGGGAACUGCGUCUGAUACUGGAUGGCUUGAAUUCGGGAGAGGGAUGCAGAAUUCCAGGUGUAGCGGUGAAAUGCGUAGAGAUCAUGAGGAAGACCAGUGGCGAAGGCGGGUCUCUGGACAGUUCCUGACACUGAGGCACGAAGGCCAGGGGAGCAAACGGG
rnacentral:rRNA from 1 species